GUCAGGAGUGGGACCUUGGUAUGCAUGAAAGUUUUCUAACCAGACUGAGGAUCAUCUUGGGCUGAAACGUCGAAAUUCUCCUUAUAUUUUUCAGGUAGUUGCAUCUCUACCAAUGAAAAGUUUAUUUUACCUGAGUGUCUAGCGUGUAUCUCAAACCAAGUGUCUUGUUCAAAAGCAUUCAUAAUUUUCCCAUCUUUAUUUCGUCUGCGGAAGAACGUAGGUACUUCCUCAAUCUCCCCAAGGGAUUCCUGCGCGUUCAAACGUUGCAGCUUGUCUUUGAACCAUUUAGGAGCGUUCCUCGUACGAUACGAUGAUUGCGCGUCAGGUGAUCCUCUCACAACAGCGGCAACGUUUAACAUGUAAAGUAGAACACAAAACCAUAUAUCAACAGUCGAGGUCAUUGUGGACGAUUAUUUCCAACACGAUAUACAAGCUGAAUAUAUUGCGUGUUUAUCAGAACGAUGUGCAGCUGUUGUUGUUGUGAAUAUAUUGCGUAUUUGCUGUAUGCGCGACAUGCCCAGACGCGUACUAAGCAAGAUUUAUUUUGUUUAAUUAACUAUCAAUAGGUUGGCAAAUAUUCCGGUGUGUGCUAUAUUAAAACUUGAAAUUUAGCCAGAAUAAAACUGGUUUUUUGAGUUGAACUAGGGAAAGGUUUAUAACA